rnacentral:rRNA from 2 species
UAGGGAAUUUUCGGCAAUGGGCGAAAGCCUGACCGAGCAACGCCGCGUGAGUGAAGACGGCCUUCGGGUUGUAAAGCUCUGUUGUAAGGGAAGAACACUGUUGAGAGAAUCGGCAGCUGACGGUACCUUACCAGAAAGCCACGGCUAACUACGUGCCAGCAGCCGCGGUAAUACGUAGGUGGCGAGCGUUAUCCGGAAUUAUUGGGCGUAAAGGGUGCGUAGGCGGCUUGUUAAGUUUAAGGUGAAAGCGUGGGGCUCAACCCCAUACAGCCUUAGAUACUGGCAAGCUAGAGUACUGGAGAGGGAAGUGGAAUUCCAUGUGUAGCGGUAAAAUGCGUAGAUAUAUGGAGGAACACCAGAGGCGAAGGCGGCUUCCUAGACAGAGACUGACGCUCAGGCACGAAAGCGUGGGUAGCAAACAGG